AUCUACCAAUGCAAUGUAACUGAAUCCAGAGUUAGGAAGAAUUGUACCUUACCAGCUCUUCCAAGUCAGCGCAAAUUGGCUCCAGAACAGUUAACUACUGUGAAGAUCUGAGAUUUCACCCUGUUUGCAAGCUGAAAAGCCAUGGGAUUGGGUGGAGGCAAGAGAAGAAUAUUUAGAAGCAAAAGGGAAAGACAUGAAACCUCAAACUAAGUGACAAAGUGAGCAUAAUCACUGUCAGAGGAGAAUGUUAAGAAAACACAAAAGAGGUGCCGAUCCACAAGACAAAAAGUGAGAAACACACUCACUCGUCCAAACCCAAAGAAUGGAUUUAGAGGCAUGAAGAACAGCAAAAGUGAAACUAUUAAAUAAUGAUUUUGCAAGAUCAGGUGUCUGGUGAGUAGGAACAUCUGGAGAAGUCACAACAGGUAGUUUAUCUCCUAUCAUGCAAGUCCCUCCCCUAGUUCCUCAUUGGUCAAGUACUGUGGGGUUACAAUCUUCCUGGAUGUUACCUAAGUUUCAUUAUCUCCCUUAGAAGGUUAUAUUCCAUCUCCUUCCCUGCCUAAGUUUUGAUCUCCCAACAACAAAACUUUCUUCCCUUUUAUGGGCUGACCCCUCCUCUACAUUCCAUUUGUUUAUUGUGACCUUCUAGGUGCAUGAGCCGUGCAGUUUGUUACAUUUGCAGGCUAGCUGCCCGUACUUAGAUUUAUCAUGCCUUGAAAAUGGACCAUUUAAAAUGUUUUCUCACGAAGGUGUAUCUUCAUUGACUGAACCGUAAAAAGAAACUGGGUGCUCAAAUUACUGCUUGGAGAAGAAACAACCUCUGAUUCAGAAUACCAAAUUGGGAUUUUAUUGGACUCAAGGUCACGAUUGGAAAAUAGUAAUCCUCUCUGAAAGCUUCAUACCACAGGAAGUUUUAGGGUACAUGUGCACAAUGUGCAGGUUAGUGGAACGCAGCUCCUCACCAGCAACGGAACAAAGCUGGACGGAGAAUGACUUUGACGAGUUGAGAGAA
rnacentral:lncRNA from 10 species